UACGUAGGGUCCGAGCGUUGUCCGGAAUUACUGGGCGUAAAGAGCUCGUAGGUGGUUUGUCGCGUUGUUCGUGAAAACUCACAGCUCAACUGUGGGCGUGCGGGCGAUACGGGCAGACUUGAGUACUGCAGGGGAGACUGGAAUUCCUGGUGUAGCGGUGGAAUGCGCAGAUAUCAGGAGGAACACCGGUGGCGAAGGCGGGUCUCUGAGCAGUAACUGACGCUGAGGAGCGAAAGCGUGGGGAGCGAACAGG
rnacentral:rRNA from 1 species